UUUUGAAAGGGAAACGAUUGAAGUCAGUCAUGCCGGUGGGAAUCAACUUAGGGGAAACUCUGGGUGCACUUCUUCGCUUGGCAGGUCAACGUCGAUUUUGAAUGUCAUAAAAUAAUUGGGGGAAGGUAGCUCCUUCGGGAGUGUUAUAGCCCUUGAUAGAUGUGAUGUUUGGGGUCGAGGAUUGCAACGGAUACCCUUCGGGGCUAGCCGCCUGAUCUCUAAUUGGUGUUGGGUUACGGAUAGCAUGCUGACCGUGAUCUAAUUACUGGUUAAAAGGUUAGAGU
rnacentral:rRNA from 1 species